GGGCCACGCCAGCGGAAAGGCGGCCCAAGGCUGGGAGGUGGCUGGACCUGCCUUGCUACUGGACACUAGGGUCCCUCCUCUUCCGGCCCAUCCGCCGGAGCCCCAGCCUGGAAUACGACCUUUUGGACCCUCUGGGUGGAGACUGCCUCUGCCUGGACUGUGGAAAGAGGCACCCCGCCAUCUUGGAGGCUGCCUGGAUCCAGCGCGAUCUCCAACUGGCCAGUGACCUCAGCAAGUCCCCGCCCCACUGGGAGCUGAGGGCUCCCCGUGUGAACCUGGAGGAGGAAGGUGGAUGAUGACUUUUUGAGAUGUUUUUAAUUCUGGCUUUGUGAGGGGAGCUUUUUGUGUUCCAGUGUGACCUCCCCACCAGCGCCACCAAGUGCUGCGACCUGGACAGAGUCCUGGGCUCCCAGGCCAUUCCUGGCCACCUCCCAUCUCUGGGACGUCAAAGAAUAGCUCAGUUUUUUCUGCCUCAUCUGGGGUGGAUGACCCUUCGGGUGUGAGGUGAACUCUCAGGAUGUGCAGAAGUGCCAGGGAAGUGGAGGCUGUAAGAAUUGUCAUUAACUUCCCCAUCCUGUCCUGUGCUGGCCCGACUUUGCCCUGACAAGACAAGUGGAUCUGGCCCUUAUUCUCUCCUGAGCUCAGCCGGCCUGCUCCCCUAGCUUCUGUUCUGUGCCCAUCAGCUCUAUGGCAAGAACCAACUUAAAGAAUCUUUCUUGCUCUCCUAAACCUCUCCAGGAAUUCCCGGUGAAUAGAAGGUGAAUGACUUGGGCCCCUCAGAACAUGUCACAGGCUUCAGGGGCCCUGAUUCAGGGUCAGGUCCAGGGCUGGCUGCAAAGGUAAGUGGUCUUCCCCUCACUCAAAGGCUUCUUCCAGCCUCCGUCUCCCCGAGUGAUAGUAACCUGGUCCUUUCCUGCCAGCCUCAAGCUGCCACUGUGGAAAGAUGACCCCCAGUCCUGCCUCACCAGCCAAUCCCAGCUCCUCCCUGGUCACCAGAGAGAGCUUGAGGGCCUGGCUUUGGCUGGGCUCCUGUUCUGUUCAGGAGUCUCCUGUCUGACACACCCCUCCCCGCCCCCCGCCCCUUGAGCCUGGCAGCAAGGCCCUCCAUGAUCUAACCCCGGUUACCUCGACAACCAUGUCUGGCCUCCCUCCUCACUCCCCAGGCACUGCAGAAUCUGAUGGGGUUUUCCAGCCACCGUUCAUUUGUCCAGGGUACCCAUCUUGCUCCCGUUGGUCUGCCCUCCCAACACUGCCAAGCUUAGGCUCAGCCUUCGCUGAGCCCUACAGGGGUCUGGUCUCUAAAGCGUUGACAUCUCCCAGACCCCUUAAAGAGACUGCUUCCCCUAAGACAGCUCCCUCCAGGCAGGAACACAAUUGCCUCUCAAUAAACUUGCGUGGUAAAAAAGGAA